AUUGAACGCUGGCGGCAGGCUUAACACAUGCAAGUCGAGCGGGGGAGGUUGCUUCGGUAACUGACCUAACGGCGGACGGGUGAGUAAUACUUAGGAACCUGCCUAUUAAUGGGGGACAACAUCUCGAAAGGGAUGCUAAUACCGCAUACGCCCUACGGGGGAAAGCAGGGGAUCACUUGUGACCUUGCGUUAAUAGAUGAGCCUAAGUCGGAUUAGCUAGUUGGUGGGGUAAAGGCCUACCAAGGCGACGAUCUGUAGCGGGUCUGAGAGGAUGGUCCGCCACACUGGGACUGAGACACGGCCCAGACUCCUACGGGAGGCAGCAGUGGGGAAUAUUGGACAAUGGGGGGAACCCUGAUCCAGCCAUGCCGCGUGUGUGAAGAAGGCCUUAUGGUUGUAAAGCACUUUAAGCGAGGAGGAGGCUCUUUUGGUAAAUACCCAAGAUGAGUGGACGUUACUCGCAGAAUAAGCACCGGCUAACUCUGUGCCAGCCGCCGCGGUAA
rnacentral:rRNA from 1 species